CGACCCCAGGUCAGGCGGGAUCACCCGCUGAGUUUAAGCAUAUCAAUAAGCGGAGGGAAAUAAACUAACAAGGAUUCCCUUAGUAACGGCGAGCGAACCGGGAAGAGCCCAACUUGAAAAUCGGACGUCUUUGGCGUUCGAAUUGUAGUCUGGAGAAGCGUCCUCAGCGACGGACCGGGCUCAAGUUCCCUGGAAAGGGGCACCAGAGAGGGUGAGAGCCCCGUUGUGCCCGGACACUGUCGCACCACGAGGCAUUGUCUAUGAGUCGGGUUGUUUGGGAAAGCAGCCCCAAUCGGGCGGUAAAUUCCGUUCAAGGCUAAAUAUGGGCGAGAGACCGAUAGCGAACAAGUACCGCGAGGUAAAGAUGAAAAGGACUUUGAAAAGAGAGUCAAAGAGUGCUUGAAAUUGUCGGGAGGGAAGCGGAUGGGGGCCGGCGAUUCGUCCCGGUCGGAUGCGGAACGGAGCAAUUUAGUCUGCCGAUCAAUUCGGCCCGUGGACCGACAUGGAUUAAGGUGGUGACCUAAGCCUGGGCUUUUGUUACGCCCGCGGCGAUGUCGCUGCCUUAAUCAUGGUCUGCAGCACGCGCCUCCCGGCGUGGCUCGGCAUCUGCAUGCUCAGGGCGUCGGCCUGUGGGAUCCCCAUUCGACCCGUCUUGAAACACGGACCAAGGAGUCUGACAUGUGUGCGAGUCAACGGGUGAGUAAACCCAUAAGGGGCAAGGAAGCUGAUUGGCUGGAUCCCUCACAGGUGCACAGCCGACCGAUCUUGAUCUUCUGAGAAGGGUUCGAGUGUGAGCAUGCUUGUCGGGACUCGAAAGAUGGUGAACUAUGCCUGAGCGGGGCGAAGCCAGAGGAAACUCUGCUGGAGGCCCGUAGCGAUACUAACGUGCAAAUCAUUCAUCUGACUUGGGUAUAGGGGCAAAAGACUAAUCGAACCAUCUCUACCGAUACCUAUUUCAUCAUCUUCAGACUCCUCGCCGCCAUCUACUCCGGCACCACUUCCGACUCCUAGCUUUGAGGCUACACCUUCAGGCUCUAGCUUUGAGACUGACCCGUCUGAAAGGUCAUAUGAUCAGACAGCGGAGCACAUUCCUUUGCCUCCAGACCCGUACUUUAUGGACAUCGAGGUGGAUGUGCUACACGAUAGUCCAGUGCAUGGAGAUCAUCCCGCAGCUCCUGCAUCUCCUGCCGCUCAUAUUACACCGGCUCCUGCCGCUCAUAUUCCACCGGCCCCUGCCGCACCUAUUCCAGCAGCACAACCUCAACCAGCGCCAACCGAUCCAGCUAUGAUAGCACUUCUGGAACUGAUGGCUGAGAUGGUGAAUUUGCAAUAUCAAGCAGUGAAUGAACAGCGAGAAGCACAGCGUGCUCAGCCAGCUCCAGUACCUACCACUUAUCACCCGGACUUCCUGAAGAUAGUCAUGAUAAUGAAGAACUUGGGGACGAAGCAUUACCAGGGAGGCACUGAUACCUUUAAAGCUGAUGUGUGGCUUCACAAUCUCGAGCAGAACUUUGCUGCAACCCGUUGUCCGGAAGAAUUUAAAAAAGACGUGGCUGUUUACUAUCUAGAGAAGGACGCCAUCAGUUGGUGGUUAUGCGUAGAGAGGAAAUUUGGAGACUUCAAUCUGAGUUGGGCUGACUUCCGUACAGCGUUCGUUCGAAAGUACUUCCCACCGGAAGCCCGUGAUCGAUUGGAAAUUAAAUUCAUGGAGCUAGUUCAGGGAGGAUUAUCUUUUAGGAAGUAUGAGGCAGAGUUCACCCGUCUCAGGAAGUAUGUCCACUAUGGUCAAGAGGACGAGAUGAUGAUUAUCCAUAAGUUCCUUCGAGGACUUAACCCAUAUAUUAGGAGCAGACUUGAGGCAGUAGAGUUUCAUCGGCUUGCUGAUCUUGUUGAGCGUGCUGUGAACGUUGAGGAGGCCAUUGCUGCUGAGAGAGCUUCUUCUAGCAAUGCCACACAACCUAGA
rfam:Brassica napus, WGS project CCCW01000000 data, contig: 30221